rnacentral:lncRNA from 1 species
ACAUGUUCUAUUCUGCAACAUUAAGAGAUUAACCACCUUGUCCCUAAUAUCCAUCACUAAAAAAACAUUCAAUUGAUUGAGUUUUAAAGCUGUGUUUUUGAAUGACUAGAUAUAGAAAAAAAAAUACAAUGAUUUAUGAUGCAACCUUGGGCUUUGGCUUCGAUUGUUUUGCUUUCGAGUACAAGAAGACUCCAGUAAGGGCCAGUGUAGUGCCUGCAUGUACGCCCAGUAAAAACUUAGCAUUUUACCAGUAUAACUGUAUAAAGAUAAAUUUUGUAUGUUCAUUAUUUUUACCGUACUAAUGACCAAGUUUUUACCGAGUGACUUAAUGGGUGAAACAAGGGUUUGGAAGAAGAUAACUGAUGCAAUUUUUACCACAACUCUCUUCACAGAGUUCCCCAUUGAAUGUGUCACUGGUGACACCAUUUGCAAUAUCACAUACAACUAGAGGUGUGCAUGGCCGAGCCGAGUCGGGCUCAGACAAAAUUUUAGGCCUAUUUUCUAGGCCCGAGCCCAGUUCGGCCCGAAAUAUGGGCUUAAAAAUUUAUCCAAGCCAGGCCCGAAAUAAAAUUGUUAAGCUCGAGCCUUGCCUGGCCCGGCCCAUAUUAAAUUUUUUUACUUAAUUUCAUUAAAUAAAAAAAUUUUAAAAUAUAAUAAUUCAAAUACAUUUAAAACAAGAAACACAUGAAAAAUAAUACUAAAACAAUUCUAAAAACAAUACACAAAUUGAAAAUAUAAUAAAAAGUGAUUAUAUUAAAAUUGAAAAUAAAAUGUAAAUAUGAUUAAAAAUAAAAAAUAUAUAUAUUUAGUAUAUAAUUCGGGCCGAGCUGGGCCCGGGUAAAAAAGUUUUACCCAAGCCCAGCCCAUUUUCUAAACGGGCCUCUUUUUUUGUCCAAACCCAUAUUUCGGAUCUAUAUUUUUACCUGAACCCUCCCAUUUUUUGGGCAGACCUUCGGGCCGGACCGGGUAACCUGGCCCAUGCACACCUCUACAUACAACACCUGUCCAUUUGUAAUAUAUUGGAAAAAAAAUUCCAAAUUUGAAUAACAUAUCAUUCAGAAUAUAGACGUACCUGUUGAUAACUGUGUAAACAGAAUUCAGCCU